ACUCAAAGGAAUUGACGGGGACCCGCACAAGCAGCGGAGCAUGUGGUUUAAUUCGAAGAUACGCGAAAAACCUUACCCAGACUUGACAUCCUUUGCAUAACCCCGAAAAGGGUGAAAUUAUAGCAAUAUAACAAAGUGACAGAUGGUGCAUGGUUGUCGUCAGCUCGUGUCGUGAGAUGUUCGGUUAAGUCCGAUAACGAGCGCAACCCUUGUCUUUAGUUGCCAGCAUUAAGUUGGGCACUCUAGAGAGACUGCCGUGGCUAACACGGAGGAAGGUGGGGAUGACGUCAAAUCAUCAUGCCUCUUACGUCUGGGGCUACACACGUGCUACAAUGGUCGUGACAAAGAGCUGCAAGCUAGUAAUAGCAAGCGAAUCUCAAAAAAGCGAUCUCAAUUCGGAUUGAGGGCUGAAACCCGCCCUCAUGAAGUCGGAGUUGCUAGUAAUCCCGAAUCAGCAUGUCGGGGUGAAUGCGUUCCCGGGUCUUGUACACACCGCCCGU
rnacentral:rRNA from 1 species